rnacentral:rRNA from 1 species
CACGCCGUAAACGAUGAGUGCUAGGUGUAGAGGGUAUCGACCCCUUCUGUGCCGCAGUUAACACAAUAAGCACUCCGCCUGGGGAGUACGGCCGCAAGGUUGAAACUCAAAGGAAUUGACGGGGGCCCGCACAAGCGGUGGAGCAUGUGGUUUAAUUCGACGCAACGCGAAGAACCUUACCAGGGCUUGACAUCCUCUGAAUCUUCAGGAAACUGGGGAGUGCCCUUCGGGGAGCAGAGAGACAGGUGG